ACUCAAAGGAAUUGACGGGGACCCGCACAAGCGGUGGAGCGUGUUGUUUAAUUCGAUGGUAAGCGAAGAACCUUACCCAGGCUUGACAUCCUUGGAAUUUCUCCGAAAGGAGAAAGUGCCUUUGGAACCAAGUGACAGGUGUUGCAUGGCCGUCGUCAGCUCGUGUCGUGAGAUGUUUGGUUAAGUCCAUCAACGAGCGCAACCCUUAUGAUUAGUUGGAUUUCUCUAAUCAGACUGCCUCGGUAACGGGGAGGAAGGAGGGGAUGAUGUCAGGUCAGUAUUACCCUUACGUCUGGGGCUACAAACACGCUACAAUGGCCGGUACAAAGGGCAGCCAAGCAGCAAUGCGGAGCAAAUCCCAUCAAAGCCGGUCCCAGUUCGGAUAGCAGGCUGAAACUCGCCUGCUUGAAGCCGGAAUCGCUAGUAACGGUGAGUCAGCACAUUACCGUGAAUACGUUCUCGGGUCUUGUACACACCGCCCGU
rnacentral:rRNA from 1 species